rnacentral:tRNA from 1 species
GGGGGCCUGUAGCUCAACUGGUUAGAGCAGAGCGCUCAUAACGCUUUGGUUGCGGGUUCAAGUCCUGCCGGGCCUACCAC